AGAGUUUGAUCCUGGCUCAGAUUGAACGCUGGCGGCAUGCCUUACACAUGCAAGUCGAACGGCAGCACGGGGGCAACCCUGGUGGCGAGUGGCGAACGGGUGAGUAAUAUGUCGGAACGUGCCCUAGAGUGGGGGAUAACGUAGCGAAAGUUACGCUAAUACCGCAUACGAUCUACGGAUGAAAGCGGGGGAUCGCAAGACCUCGCGCUCAUGGAGCGGCCGAUAUCUGAUUAGCUAGUUGGUAGGGUAAAAGCCUACCAAGGCGACGAUCAGUAGCUGGUCUGAGAGGACGACCAGCCACACUGGGACUGAGACACGGCCCAGACUCCUACGGGAGGCAGCAGUGGGGAAUUUUGGACAAUGGGGGCAACCCUGAUCCGGCAAUGCCGCGUGUGUGAAGAAGGCCUUCGGGUUGUAAAGCACUUUUGUCAGGAACGAAACG
rnacentral:rRNA from 1 species